GGGGCAUCUCCUAAUAACCAAGAUCACUUGGCACCGUCAUCAAAAGCUUGGAGCCCAGGCGUUCAGUCCACACUUGCUGUUCUGAGUGAGUUUCCUUGCUGUCAGAGGGAAGGAAUCACAUCCAACAACCGGAUAUGAAUCAGCCAGAGUAAAUAAAACAGCAAUCCAGUGUUAAUGAGGGGGAGGCAUCAUGACAAGAGAUGAAAGGGGGAGAAAAUGCACUGGAAAGAGCUUUGAAAAUUAAUUAGCGAAGAAGUAGUUUUGUUAAAUCCCAGAGCUCUCACGUACCUGUUGUUCCUGUCACCUACGAUGCCAGCUCCUCAUCACGCUACCUACCGUCUGCCUGGGUAAACCUUACAUUUUUUUCAACCCUUACCUUAUAGGACUCUACCAACCAUAGCACCAUCACUUAGGACUGAAAUGGU